rnacentral:rRNA from 1 species
CCUACGUGAUGCAGCAGUGAGGAAUAUUGGUCAAUGGGCGCGAGCCUGAACCAGCCAAGUAGCGUGAAGGAUGACUGCCCUACGGGUUGUAAACUUCUUUUAUAAAGGAAUAAAGUGAGGCACGUGUGCCUUUUUGUAUGUACUUUAUUACUAAGGAUCGGCUAACUCCGUGCCAGCAGCCGCGGUAAUACGGAGGAUCCGAGCGUUAUCCGGAUUUAUUGGGUUUAAUGGGAGCGUAGAUGGGUUGUUAAGUCAGUUGUGAAAGUUUGCGGCUCAACCGUAAAAUUGCAAUUGAUACUGGCAGUCUUGAGUACAGUUGAGGUAGGCGGAAUUCGUGGUGUAGCGGUGAAAUGCUUAGAUAUCACGAAGAACUCCGAUUGCGAAGGCAGCUUACUAAACUGCCACUGACAUUGAUGCUCGAAAGUGUGGGUAUCAAACAGGAUUAGAUACCCCGGUAGUC